GGAGACCGAACCAACGGUCGUUCGCACGAAGCGUAGAACGCUUUUUUUGUGGUGCUCCGAGGCCGAGGCCCCGUACCCACAUGAUGUUCCGUACUCGAGAGACCGAGCGACCCGUCGUGGUUCGUCGGCCCGRACGMCGUUUCACGGGCGAACGGGGCGCGAGACACGACGUGCGCUGUUUGGCCCACCCCGCACCGCAGGCCCUUUUGGGAGCAGCGGCACGGGACGGGAGUGGGACGAUGGAAACMGAUAGAAUGCCCUAGCGAUAGGUAUGCAGCACAGGAAAACCGACGUCGGACGAGCACUUACUCGMGCCAACAACUGAAGAGACGCGGACGGGAUG
rnacentral:misc_RNA from 1 species